UACGUAGGGUGCGAGCGUUAAUCGGAAUUGCUGGGCGUAAAGCGUGCGCAGGCGGUCUGUUAAGACCGAUGUGAAAUCCCCGGGCUUAACCUGGGAACUGCGUUGGUGACUGGCAGGCUUUGAGUGUGGCAGAGGGAGGUAGAAUUCCACGUGUAGCAGUGAAAUGCGUAGAGAUGUGGAGGAAUACCGAUGGCGAAGGCAGCCUCCUGGGCCAACACUGACGCUCAUGCACGAAAGCGUGGGGAGCAAACAGG
rnacentral:rRNA from 1 species